AAGCCCUCUAAACCGGCACUCGUUGGGACUGACAAAAAAUGUCGGUAUAGAGGGCGUGCCGAUUUAGAGAAUGAUCCUAGCAAUUAACUAUCUUCUGUCGGGACGAAAUUCUAGUGCCGAUAUUAAGAGCAUGCCGGAUUGGAGGGCUGCUGAUUUAGAGGGCUUCCACUGUAUUUAUUAUCAACA